UAGGGAAUCUUCGGCAAUGGACGAAAGUCUGACCGAGCAACGCCGCGUGAGUGAAGAAGGUUUUCGGAUCGUAAAACUCUGUUGUUAGAGAAGAACAAGGACGUUAGUAACUGAACGUCCCCUGACGGUAUCUAACCAGAAAGCCACGGCUAACUACGUGCCAGCAGCCGCGGUAAUACGUAGGUGGCAAGCGUUGUCCGGAUUUAUUGGGCGUAAAGCGAGCGCAGGCGGUUUCUUAAGUCUGAUGUGAAAGCCCCCGGCUCAACCGGGGAGGGUCAUUGGAAACUGGGAGACUAGAGUGCAGAAGAGGAGAGUGGAAUUCCAUGUGUAGCGGUGAAAUGCGAAGAUAUAUAACGGAACACCAGUGGCGAAGGCGGCUCUCUGGACUGUAACUGACGCUGAGGCUCGAAAGCGUGGGGAGCAAACAGG
rnacentral:rRNA from 1 species